UACGUAGGGUGCGAGCGUUGUCCGGAAUUAUUGGGCGUAAAGAGCUCGUAGGCGGUCUGUCGCGUCGAUCGUGAAAACUUGGGGCUUAACCCUGAGCUUGCGGUCGAUACGGGCAUGACUGGAGUUCGGCAGGGGAGACUGGAAUUCCUGGUGUAGCGGUGAAAUGCGCAGAUAUCAGGAGGAACACCGGUGGCGAAGGCGGGUCUCUGGGCCGAUACUAACGCUGAGGAGCGAAAGCGUGGGGAGCGAACAGG
rnacentral:rRNA from 1 species